CCCCGCAUAAACAGAAACAGAGACAACCAUUUUUUUUGCUUUUUUUCAAAACUUCCCGCCUCUCUCUCCUCGCCCCCACCACCACCACCGAAAGCAUCAAUGGCCGACCAGCCGUUGCGUGAUUGAAGGCACACUAACAAAAGGCACGUCGGUUCCUUUUUCUCUAUAAAUAGAGAGAGACCGAAGAGAGAGAGAGACCCGAGGAUAGAGGGAGAAGAGAAUUAACGCACGAAGGAGAAGGGAGAACAAAAACAAACCGA
rnacentral:lncRNA from 1 species